UACGUAGGGUGCAAGCGUUGUCCGGAAUUAUUGGGCGUAAAGAGCUCGUAGGCGGUCUGUCGCGUCGGCUGUGAAAACCCGGGGCUCAACCCCGGGCCUGCAGUCGAUACGGGCAGACUAGAGUGCGGUAGGGGAGACUGGAAUUCCUGGUGUAGCGGUGAAAUGCGCAGAUAUCAGGAGGAACACCGGUGGCGAAGGCGGGUCUCUGGACAUUUCCUGACGCUGAGGCACGAAAGCCAGGGGAGCAAACGGG
rnacentral:rRNA from 1 species